GUGUCAGCAGCCGCGGUAAUACGUAGGGGUCGAGCGUUGUCCGGAGUUACUGGGCGUAAAGCGUGCGCAGGCGGCUCAUUGCGCCCGGCGUGAAAGCCCCCGGCUCAACCGGGGAGGGUCGUCGGGGACGGGUGAGCUUGAGGGUAUCAGGGGUUGGUGGAAUUCCCGGUGUAGUGGUGAAAUGCGUAGAGAUCGGGAGGAACACCCGUGGCGAAGGCGGCCAACUGGGAUACACCUGACGCUGAGGCACGAAGGCGUGGGGAGCGAACGGGAUUAGAUACCCCGGUAGUCCACGCAGUAAACGAUGCAGACUAGGCGUGGGGGGACUUGACCCCCUCCGUGCCGGAGCUAACGCGGGAAGUCUGCCGCCUGGGGAGUACGGCCGCAAGGCUAAA
rnacentral:rRNA from 1 species